rnacentral:rRNA from 1 species
AGGCUUAACACAUGCAAGUCGAGCGCCCCGCAAGGGGAGCGGCAGACGGGUGAGUAACGCGUGGGAACGUACCCUUUACUACGGAAUAACGCAGGGAAACUUGUGCUAAUACCGUAUGUGCCCUUAGGGGGAAAGAUUUAUCGGUAAAGGAUCGGCCCGCGUUGGAUUAGCUAGUUGGUGGGGUAAAGGCCUACCAAGGCGACGAUCCAUAGCUGGUCUGAGAGGAUGAUCAGCCACAUUGGGACUGAGACACGGCCCAAACUCCUACGGGAGGCAGCAGUGGGGAAUAUUGGACAAUGGGCGCAAGCCUGAUCCAGCCAUGCCGCGUGAGUGAUGAAGGCCCUAGGGUUGUAAAGCUCUUUCACCGGAGAAGAUAAUGACGGUAUCCGGAGAAGAAGCCCCGGCUAACUUCGUGCCAGCAGCCGCGGUAAUACCGAAGGGGGCUAGCGUUG